GGUAUGACUGGUACAAUUGGUUUCUCCCUUCUGACGAAGCAUGAUGUCAUUAAUUUGGUGUCGUGGGGAAUCAGGACUGUUACUUUGAAAAAAUUAGAGUGUUUAAAGCAAGCAUUAGCUUGAAUACAUUAGCAUGGAAUAAUGAAAUAGGACGUUUGAUCCUAUUUCGUUGGUUUCUAGGAUCGACGUAAUGAUUAAUAGGGAUAGUUGGGGGCAUUAGUAUUCAAUUGUCAGAGGUGAAAUUCUUGGAUUUAUUGAAGACUAACUACUGCGAAGGCAUUUGCCAAGGAUGUUUUCAUUAAUCAAGAACGAAAGUUAGGGGAUCGAAGACGAUCAGAUACCGUCGUAGUCUUAACCAUAAACUACGCCGACUAGGGAUCGGAUGAUGUUAAUUUUUUAAUGACUCAUUCGGCGCCUUACG
rnacentral:rRNA from 1 species